rnacentral:rRNA from 1 species
GAUGAACGCUGGCGGUGUGCCUAAUACAUGCAAGUCGAGCGAACAGACGAGGAGCUUACUCCUCUGACGUUAGCGGCGGACGGGUGAGUAACACGUGGAUAACCUACCUAUAAGACUGGGAUAACUUCGGGAAACCGGAGCUAAUACCGGAUAACAUGUUGAACCGCACGGUUCAACAGUGAAAGACGGUCUUGCUGUCACUUAUAGAUGGAUCCGCGUCGCAUUAGCUAGUUGGUAAGGUAACGGCUUACCAAGGCAACGAUGCGUAGCCGACCUGAGAGGGUGAUCGGCCACACUGGAACUGAGACACGGUCCAGACUCCUACGGGAGGCAGCAGUAGGGAAUCUUCCGCAAUGGGCGAAAGCCUGACGGAGCAACGCCGCGUGAGUGAAGAAGGUCUUCGGAUCGUAAAACUCUGUUAUUAGGGAAGAACAAAUGUGUAAGUAACUAUGCACGUCUUGACGGUACCUAAUCAGAAAGCCACGGCUAACUACGUG